rnacentral:rRNA from 1 species
AGUGAACGCUGGCGGUAGGCCUAACACAUGCAAGUCGAACGGCAGCACAGUAAGAGCUUGCUCUUACGGGUGGCGAGUGGCGGACGGGUGAGGAAUACAUCGGAAUCUACUUUUUCGUGGGGGAUAACGUAGGGAAACUUACGCUAAUACCGCAUACGACCUACGGGUGAAAGCAGGGGAUCUUCGGACCUUGCGCGAUUGAAUGAGCCGAUGUCGGAUUAGCUAGUUGGCGGGGUAAAGGCCCACCAAGGCGACGAUCCGUAGCUAGUCUGAGAGGAUGAUCAGCCACACUGGAACUGAGACACGGUCCAGACUCCUACGGGAGGCAGCAGUGGGGAAUAUUGGACAAUGGGCGCAAGCCUGAUCCAGCCAUACCGCGUGGGUGAAGAAGGCCUUCGGGUUGUAAAGCCCUUUUGUCGGGAAAGAAAAGCAGCAGGUUAAUACCCCGCUGUUCUGACGGUACCCAAAGAAUAAGCACCGGCUAACUUCGUG